rnacentral:rRNA from 1 species
AGAGCGAACGCUGGCGGCAGGCCUAAUACAUGCAAGUCGAACGGACCCUUCGGGGUUAGUGGCGGACGGGUGAGUAACACGUGGGAACGUGCCCUUUGGUUCGGAACAACUCAGGGAAACUUGAGCUAAUACCGAAUGUGCCCCCUCCUUUGAUUAGGGGGGUGGGAAAGAUUUAUCGCCAUUGGAGCGGCCCGCGUCUGAUUAGCUAGUUGGUGGGGUAAAGGCCCACCAAGGCUACGAUCAGUAGCUGGUCUGAGAGGAUGAUCAGCCACACUGGGACUGAGACACGGCCCAGACUCCUACGGGAGGCAGCAGUAGGGAAUCUUGCGCAAUGGGCGAAAGCCUGACGCAGCCAUGCCGCGUGAAUGAUGAAGGUCUUAGGAUUGUAAAAUUCUUUCAGCGGGGACGAUAAUGACGGUACCCGUAGAAGAAGCCCCGGCUAACUUCGUGCCAGCAGCCGC